rnacentral:rRNA from 1 species
GGGUUCGAUCAUACCAGCACUACAACACCGAAUUCC